UGUUACCAUCACACCUGAGGUACAGCGUGCGCGCACGCGCACACACACGCAUAUAUAUAUAUACAUACGUGUACAUCUCUCAUUGCCUUGCGCCCUCUGCGCCUUUCUCGGUGUUUGUGAGGGGGGCGCGCGUUCCUCCGCAUCAUGGCCCGUCGUGAUCGCGUGCCACGCCACAAGUCGCACACGCACAAGCGCAACAAGAACGCCAAGCUGUCGCCGUUCCAGCGAGAGCAGAAGCGGGCGAAGAUGGCAAAUCAGGUGCCGACGGCGCAGACGAUGGGCAGCCUCGACAGUAUUCCGCACAGCCAGCGCCACAUCUUCGAAUAUCUGCAGGAGAAGCGCUCCCGGCAACAGGCAAGGCGCGCCGCGCUGGAGAAGGAGCGGCAGACGCACAACGCGGAAGUGCGCCCCAGCGCCGCAAGCAGCGGCAGCGGGGGAAAGUCGAAGGAGACACACGCGGCGGCAGAGGAUGGAACAGCAAGGACUGCUGCGGCGACGGCCGUCACGACACCCGCCGCAUCGAUGCCAAGGAAGCCAAAGAAGCAAGCGGAGUUCGCCUCUCUGAAUGAGGAGCUCAGCGCCUCCGUCGGCGCAGUCCUGCAGCCACCGAGCAGUCGCCAUGGUCGAUCGACCGCCGCCACGGGCAAGGACAGCGUCAGCGAUGGACCGCGCUCUGUCGAAGAGAUCAUCGCCCGGAAGAAGGAGCGGAAGCACAAGCGUAAGCAGGAGGCGCGCCGGGCCCGCGUCGCGGCGCAGCUGCAGGCAAUCGAAGAGGAGCUAGACAAGUACGCCAAGACCGCCAACGGCGUCGGUAAACGGGGCCGCAAGAAGGGCAAAGGUGGUGACGGUGAGGAAGCGGAGACUGCCGAUGAUGUACGCGAGCGCGUGAACCUCGCCUUCGAGCGCAAGCUGCGGAGCAUGAAGAGGGAAGAGGAAGAGAACGCGUCUCAACGCAAGGCGGCGGAGGUCGCCACUGCCGAGACACGCCGCUACAAUGGCAAUGGUGAGGCACGCAAGCGUCGCCGUGAAACAUCAUCUGGCGCAGGCGGGCACGCGAACGGCCACGCUGACCGCGGCGAUGGCGAAGGCUCCGAAGAGACGGCGCCGCAGCGGCAGCGCAAGCGCAUCUCUUUCAACCCCAACGUCGAGGACCGGGCAGCAGAGGCGGACGCGAGCCGCGUCGAAAAACGCGGCGCGGAGCGGAGGCCGCAGGACUUUUACGAGCUGGUCGAUGUUGUGCGCUACGGUGAGCGGGUGGAGGCCCCACCUGUGUUCGACGUUGUGCCGAACCGCAACGCUGCCGUGUCGCGACUCGCAAGUGCGCUGGAGCGUGAGGAAGACCGUCGCGUCCACGGCGGUGUUGACGCCGCCGAGCGGCACCGCCUCCUCGCUGGUGGAGGCCGGCUGGCGCAGCAGAAACGCCUUGCUCGGCUUGGACUUGCGCCUGCCAUCACGCACACGACACAUGCGGACGGCACGGCGGCGCGCAUGAGCAAGGAAAAGGAGUUCGAAGCACUGCGUGACCGCGUGAUGGCGACGUACCAGCGCAAUCGGCGAAAGGAAGUAGCGGAGCGCAAAGGCGUCGACAUGAAGCACGAGUUUCCGCUCUUCGCUUAGCCCUGUCAGAUGCGCCUCGCCACCUCUCUCUCUCUCGUGCGUAUGUGUGCGCAGCGCACGGACGGCGCUGAAGGCCGUGAUAGGAGGGCACGAUGGUGCCCUCGUUGCCUUGUACACUACGAUUAACCGUCUUUAAGGUUGAGUUCUAAGCAGUGGCUGCUUGUGCGCGCUUGUGUGUGUUCGUAAGUGUCGAGUUGCACUUGUAUGGUGGGGUCGUGCUGCUCGACUAAAAUCCUCUCGUUCUCUACAGACGCGCACUCACAUGCGACUUUUGCGCAGCGCCAGUGCCCAUUCGCGCCGCUGUCGGUGUUGUCCCCGAGGACGAACCUCCCUCGUGUCAUCGACAGCAGUGACCAGCCAUGCAGGACAGACAGAGGUGGCCAGCAGGAUGCCGUGCAACCCUUGGAUCCUUCAGCAGCUGAAGGGGUGGGCUGCUGUCGCAUUUCCCCGCCCCUCGCGAUCUCUGGUGCUCUCUUGCGCGCCCCGCGAAAGCGAAGUCCCAACCCCUGGCGAG
rnacentral:misc_RNA from 1 species